AAAGGGAAAGGAAAGGUGGAAGGUGGAAGGGAAGAAGAUAGAGUCAGAAUGU
rnacentral:misc_RNA from 1 species